rnacentral:rRNA from 1 species
AGAGUUUGAUCCUGGCUCAGGAUGAACGCUAGCGACAGGCUUAACACAUGCAAGUCGAGGGGCAGCACAGGUAGCAAUACCGGGUGGCGACCGGCGCACGGGUGAGUAACGCGUAUGCAACUUACCUAUCAGAGGGGGAUAACCCGGCGAAAGUCGGACUAAUACCGCAUGAAGCAGGGGCCCCGCAUGGGGAUAUUUGCUAAAGAUUCAUCGCUGAUAGAUAGGCAUGCGUUCCAUUAGGCAGUUGGCGGGGUAACGGCCCACCAAACCGACGAUGGAUAGGGGUUCUGAGAGGAAGGUCCCCCACAUUGGUACUGAGACACGGACCAAACUCCUACGGGAGGCAGCAGUGAGGAAUAUUGGUCAAUGGCCGAGAGGCUGAACCAGCCAAGUCGCGUGAGGGAUGAAGGUUCUAUGGAUCGUAAACCUCUUUUAUAAGGGAAUAAAGUGCGGGACGUGUCCCGUUUUGUAUGUACCUUAUGAAUAAGGAUCGGCUAACUCCGUGCCAGCAGCCGCGGUAAUACGGAGGAUCCGAGCGUUAUCCGGAUUUAUUGGGUUUAAAGGGAGCGUAGAUGGGUUGUUAAGUCAGUUGUGAAAGUUUGCGGCUCAACCGUAAAAUUGCAAUUGAUACUGGCAGUCUUGAGUACAGUUGAGGUAGGCGGAAUUCGUGGUGUAGCGGUGAAAUGCUUAGAUAUCACGAAGAACUCCGAUUGCGAAGGCAGCUUACUAACCUGUAACUGACAUUGAUGCUCGAAAGUGUGGGUAUCAAACAGGAUUAGAUACCCUGGUAGUCCACACGGUAAACGAUGAAUACUCGCUGUAGGCGAUAUACAGUCUGCGGCCAAGCGAAAGCAUUAAGUAUUCCACCUGGGGAGUACGCCGGCAACGGUGAAACUCAAAGGAAUUGACGGGGGCCCGCACAAGCGGAGGAACAUGUG